rnacentral:lncRNA from 13 species
AUGCCGCGCAACCCCAGUUUACAUUGGGCUUCAUUGGCCCUGCCAGUGAGACGUGCGGCACCAUCGCGAGGGCUGGAGCUGUCGUGGCGGGUCUGUGAGCACAGAUUCCGACCAUCGUACAGCCGUUUUCUCCAGCCGCGCAGGGUGAUAUCCCCGCAGGAGCGUCACAGGGAAGGGAUGAGACAUCUGGCACUGCCUGGAGCGCGGGAACAGAGGAGGAACAAGGCAGAGAACAGCCUGAGAGGGAGACGAGACACCAUCCUCGGACACAUUGCGCCUUUGCUGUGGGGCCGCCGCCAGCCUGUGAGGCGGGAGCUGGGGAGGGACUUCGACCAUUUGGGGGGCUGCCCUCCCUUUAUUUUUCUGGAAGAUGCUCCUUUUGCGGGGAGGGGGGGUGUACACAAAUGUAAAUGGCUUUAUUAAAGAAACAUGCUGCUGUCCGGGCUAGUGUGAUUUCGUUUUUGCCUUCUUUGGGGACGAGUAAAAAGGGAGGGAAUUGGAAUCCGCGGGAUGAUGAUGUCAUUUCGGGCACCCCAGUGUCACUUGGAGAGUGAAGAUGCAUUGGAGGAGAAGGUGAGUAGGGUAUGAGAGGGCUUAGGUGGUGUUCUCCCAAAAAAGGGAGGUUACAGCCCAAAAAUGCCUGGAAGUUUAGAGGGCGUGUUUGUGCAGAAAAUAUUAAAAACUGUAGCUUUCCUUACCUUUAUAUAUAUAUAAAAUUAAUAAUUUAUAUUAGAAUGGAUUUCAAAAUACAACCCCGUAUCUAGUGUAUUAUAUACAGGAUCUUCGAGGGUAAGAAGUCCUAAAUAUGGAUAUAUAAGGUUUAAAAAUGCAAAUAGAACUUUUAUAUAUAUAAAUUAAACAAGAAAAGGCUUGAAAUGGAAGAAAAUAUGGUACCUAUGAAGGCAAUAGAAAUAGCUUAGUGUAUUCAGUUUUUUUCUCUCCGUCUAACAGCCUGAGAUUGUGGCUGGCACUUAAAUCGCUGCUGCCACCUGGUGAUAAGAACUGCACGUACUGACGAACUGCAGCCGCUCGGUGAGCCUGUGCCACACUCAAGAUGGCGGCUUGGGCACGGGUAACGCCGUCCUUCCCAAGAUGGGGGGCGGUCACACAUGCGCUUCGUGGAAGGGAAAAAUUGCUCAACGGCAGGAGCUUUCUCUUCACAAAGGCGUCCUCCCGCCUGCCUGAGCCCGACCCCGACCCCGCGCUUGCAGCCCGAUCCUGCGCGGCGCUUUGCGGUGUGAGGACGCGGAUGGUGCAAGAGCAGAGUCGACGUCGGAGUCGGGGUUGGGUUCAGGCGACGGAAAAAAAAGCUUUUCUGAGGAGCGGGACCCUUUUUCCGUACCACACAAAAGAUGGCGGCGUAGCCCGAAGUGGCUUCUGCCAGAUCCCAAGAUGGCGAGGAUUGGCGGAAGUCACGUGAUGCCACACCAACGAUAGCAUGCCAGCACGCCGAUUUUUGGCGGCACCGUGCGCCGGUGAGGCACCGUGCGCAUGCGCUUUUUGGGUAAGGACCAAAUAUGGUGCCACAAGGUUCCCCACUUCUCCGAAAGGCGUCUUUUCAGCUGCCUGAACCCGACCCCUAUUUCGAUGCCGACCCGGCGCUUUCAGCGUGAUUUUCCGUGGAGUCUCUCGGUGUGGGGUCUCGGGGGUAGGCAGGAGCCGAGCGUGCGGCGGCAGGCAGCGGCGAGGACGUCUCUGUCCCGGUCGUGCCGCGCCGCGCGUGACGAGGACCCCGCGACGCCACGCGGUGCCGGACCGGGCUCCUGGCCACACCCCACCCCCGGGAAAUGCAUGAAAACUCAAAAUGGUCAGAAAAUACCAAACAGUCACUAAAGCUGCCUUUGCCAUCCCCCUGCUCCCCCAAAGGGCAGGAGCUGUGCAGAGACGGGAGCACACAGCAAGGAUGCAGCUCCUCUUUCCCUGGAGGUGAGAGCUGGGGGGGGGGGGCGGCAGAGCUUGAGGCAAGGUUUCCCAGAGAGGGGGAGCAGGGAGAAUUUCAGCUCGUAGCAGCUCUGUGAGUGCCGGAUGGACUCCGUGCUGAGCAGGUGGGAGAUGUGGGUUGUAUUCACGUUCCCAGGAACUGCUGAAAUGACAAGUCGCAGCAGCCUCGCGUGUCUGCGUGUAGAACCAGCUCUAAUGCUGGCAGCCACGUGUGAACUGGGAAAUUAACAUCAGGAGGCUGGGAACAAGUCCCAGAAAUUGGUUAAAAUGAGAUGGACUUUGGCUAAACAUCUGAAAAUCACUUUUGGUUUUGCUUAAGGAAUUCAAAACUGAAGCGAUUCUCAAGGUGUUGGCAUUUCUUUUAGUGUAGUAUUGGUGGGGUGCUGGCUCAGUACCUUUCUUGCAGCUGCUGUUGGCUGAACAGAUCGGCACCUGAUUUACCGGUAAGGUCCUGCUUUGUUCACUGCCUCUCACAGCUUGUACAGUAGCCGGAAUCCCAGUGGUGCAGGGAUGCACUGGAAUUUCUGAGUUAACAUUAAGUGUUGCCACAUGAUUUUUACAAGGUUAAAUUCCAGUGAAUCUGUACCAAAAACUGGAAGACAGGAAGCACAAGAAGCUGUGCUGCAGGACCUGAUGGCCUUGGUGUGCCCCUGGCUGUACCUGUUCUGAUGCUCCCUUGCUGUGCUGUCGGUGCUGCCUGUCGGUGGGGAUGGGCAGAUCCAAAGAGCUGGAGUUAAACCCCACGGAGGCAUUUCGGAGCAGGCGGGUGGAGCCAAGGCAGAGCUGCUCAGGGACUGCAGGUAGAAACUGAAGCCCUCACAGGGAAAGCUGUGUAAUCAUCACAAUCCUCUGCGUUUCCUAUGAUAGAACCUAUCCUUG